AAGGGGAGAGGGUCGGGGAGGAUUCCAGGGAAAAGUAGUGCCCCCCAAAGCUGAACUAUUUGAGAAAGGGAAGCGAAGAAAAAUCACUUUCCUGAAGAUAAAAGGCCGGGGCGCCGGCUGGUCGCAGUCACAAAGUUUCCAUUUCAGGCUAGGAAGUUGGCAUGCUCGAACUCUUUGGAACAAUGAUUACAUUUGUGUAAUAAACAUGAUGCCACAGCCUUGUCCAACCCCGCCCCCCACCACUGUAACAUGAGGCCAACACUUAAGAGGAGGCAGACCAACAAUGGAGAACUAACUUGGAUCCUCAAAUGACCUCCUGGAGUGGAGCCACCUACUCACCUUGGGCCACAGAUGAGAAAUAAAUAAACUCUGUUUUAUCUAAA